rnacentral:lncRNA from 1 species
UUUUAGAUGGUGUAAUACUCUUUUCCAAUGUGGUCUUGAACUCACCCUGUAACCCACCUAGGCCUUAAAUUUUCAAUCCUCCUUAACAUUUAGAAUAGCAAGAAGACCAGGCCUGGUUUUUGAUUGUCUUUUGAUAACUGAUUAUAAACACUCCUUAUACACUAUUUUGGACAUUAGAUAUACAUAUUGGAAAUAUUUUGCUUGGUUUGGGGCUUGUUAUUUUAACUUGUUUGUGGUAUAUUUUAGUGACCCAGUCUGUUUAAUAUUAAUAUAUGAAUUUUUUGUGUUUGAUUAUUUCUAAUAUGUUGUUUUUAAAAGAAUUCUUUCCUAACUCUGCAAUUAUUAACAUUUUUCCAUUUUUUUCUUUUUAGAACGUAAAUAUGCUCAUUUUCACAUUUAUUAUUAAAUCUAAAAGAUUUAGAAUGUUACAAGCGGUGGUAUAUUUAGGCUUUUAUGUUUCUGGUGUCUACAAACCUCCUGGUCCAUUAUGCGCCCUCUUUCGGCUGAUCUGCUGUAUUGUCUGGAGGACGACGGGCUUCCUUGAAUGUGUGGGUCCCUUUCUGAAUUCUUCACCCUGCUGUCAGAUCAAUUGCCUUAUCUAUUUAUAUUUUUAUGUCUAGUAAAUGAAGCCUAUCAGCAUCUCAUCAGCCAUUCAUUUCUCUUAAGCAGUUCCUUGGCAAUUCUUGGACAAUUCUUAGUUCAAAAGCAUGCGGCUUCCCAUAGGACUUUCUCUGAAGACACACUAACCCAGACUCCCAGCAAGUGUUGAAAUGGAGGGAGCAGACAUCUUUGCAGGGUAAUGAUUUUAUAGAGGAUAAUAACACUUUAUCCUGGAGAGCAACCUUAGACCUCCUGUCUACUGUCUAAAUGGCAGGAGAUUCCUAUUUCUGCCUUACUGAUAGCUUUACCACCAUUUGUUGGAUUUUAUUGAAUACUUAAUACUAUAUGUAUUUUAGAAAUGGUGAUAUAAUUUUCUUUAGUUUUUAGUAAGCUAAUAGAUUGUUUCUAGUAUUGAAGUUUUCAUAUGCCUGUAAAACAAAUCUUUUAUUUAUAUUCAACUUGGAAAUAUUUCAUUCAGUAAUAUUAAAUUAUUACCAUGAAUGUGAUUUAUACGUUCUCUUUUUAAUAUUGAAUUUGUCUGAGUUUGACAUUAGAUUAUAAUAAUUUCAUAAGAUGUAAUGAGAGAGAGCCUAUUCCUUUACUGUUGAUCUAUUUGGGUGUGGGAUUCUCUUGAUAGGAUUUAAUUUUUUUCAUCUAUAGAUAGGUAUUUACUUUUUACUUUUUUGUUUAAAGAAUUCACAUUCUAUGACAUAUGCAAUGUAAAAUUUAUCAGAUAGACAUAGUUAAUGCCAAAUCACUUGGGGCUACCAAGAUCAAAAUAGGCAAGUGUUUCCUGAUGUCUUUGUUCUUAAGAGAGUGCUUAUCUAUGUUUUUUUGUUGUUGUUUGUUUGCUUGCUUUUAAUCUUCUUAAUGCCGUUAGUCGUGGCCUAGUUUGUUUUCUAGCAUUGAAAACCUUCUAUGGAGGUGUGUGCAAUUUAUAGAAAUGCUUGUUAAUACUAACCUUUUCCUUUUCUUCUUAGUUGCAGUCUUGGGCUAUAAUAAAUAUUAAUAAUUAUGUAUUGUGUUC